rnacentral:rRNA from 1 species
UACGUAGGGUGCAAGCGUUGUCCGGAAUUAUUGGGCGUAAAGAGCUCGUAGGCGGUUUGUCGCGUCUGCUGUGAAAACUCGGGGCUUAACCCCGGGCCUGCAGUGGGUACGGGCAGACUAGAGUGCGGUAGGGGAGACUGGAAUUCCUGGUGUAGCGGUGAAAUGCGCAGAUAUCAGGAGGAACACCGGUGGCGAAGGCGGGUCUCUGGGCCGUAACUGACACUGAAAGACGAAAGCCAGGGGAGCAAACGGG